ensembl:lncRNA
UAUUUAUUUUCUAUUACUGGUUUAUGGGGAAUCUGUUCUUGCACUUCACAGUUCUUUGUCCUCCACUCUUGUUAAUGGGUCUGGAAGGCUGAAUCAUUUAGGCCAAGGUAGGGUGUCAGACUGCUCACAUUCUCCAUCCGGUCCUCAACAGGAAUCCUCGUCUUUUUUCUUCCAAAGGAUCAGUUUUCCCUUCACACCCAGGACUUUUUUUUUCUUCUUUUCUUUUCUUUUGGGCAAUCUGCCUCAAGUUUCAGAUGAACAGCAAAAGGGACUCAGCCAUACCUAUGCAUGUAUCCAUCCAUUCUCCUCCAAACUCCCCUCCAAUCCAGGCUGCCAUAUAACACUGAGAGGAGUUCCAUAUGCUAUACAGAGAAUCCCCAGGACAGAGGAGCUUGGCGGACUACAGUCCACGGGGUCACAAAGAGUUGCAUAC